AAAAGAGCAUUUUAAUAACCUUUCUGUUAUAAAUGUUUGGCUCCCCCACACAACCCUAUCUCAAUAAAAGGGUUUGGUUGUUUUUGGCGAGAAGAAUGAUGACCCCAAGUCGCCCUUCUCACUCCUAAAUUGUGGUUUUGUGGUUUAACAUUAUCUCUGUGAUACGCCUUUUAUUUCCCGUUUUGUCCACCAUCAUUCGCUCAUUAAAAU